rnacentral:rRNA from 1 species
UAAUACAGAGGGUGCAAGCGUUAAUCGGAAUUACUGGGCGUAAAGGGUGCGUAGGUGGUUUGCCAAGUCAGAUGUGAAAGCCCUGGGCUCAACCUGGGAACUGCAUUUGAUACUAGCGAACUAGAGUAUGGUAGAGGGAAGUGGAAUUUCCGGUGUAGCGGUGAAAUGCGUAGAUAUCGGAAGGAACACCAGUGGCGAAGGCGGCUUCCUGGACCAUUACUGACACUGAGGCACGAAAGCGUGGGGAGCAAACAGGAUUAGAUACCCUGGUAGUCCACGCCGUAAACGAUGAGAACUAGAUGUUAGGGGGCUUGACCUCUUAGUAUCGAAGCAAACGCGUUAAGUUCUCCGCCUGGGGAGUACGGUCGCAAGAUUA